AGAUGCUGCAGUGCCGCCACCACCCAACGGCCGGAGCCCCCAGCAAAGGUGGAACCCACCCACGCUGUUUGCAACAGUAUAUGGGACCUUCCCAUAGUUUUCCACAAAAUGGGAGAAAAGUAUAAGAAGCUCUUCCUGCUAUGGAGCCCCAAUACAAUGCUUCGUACCUAGAAGGCUCUCAGAAACAGAAAUCUGGUGAAUUAGUUAAAUUAUAUGCUUCUCUGCCCUCUGCCCUCCAUAAGAAAAAAAGAAAAGACCUAUAAAAGGCAUUCUGAACACUGGAGUUUGGCUCCUGUUUACCAUGUACAUCUAGAGAAGUGUACAAUUCGUGCUUGUAUGAAAUAAUGAAUGUUCACAAAGUGAGUAUACUUCUGUAAGCACUGCCUAAAUCAAAAGCAGCAAUGUGACCAGCCCCCCGGCCACCCUUGGUGCUCUCCCAAGCACUCCUCCACCAUCCUCUCCAACUGCAACCGCUAUCCUGAUUUCUAACACCCUAGGGGAGUUUUGCCUAGUUUUAAAUUUUACAUGAAUGGAGUCUCAUCAUAUGUAUUACUUUUACACUCAUAAUAUUUUCAAGAUAAGGAUAAAAAGCAAAAUUUUGGUCUUAUCACAA
ensembl:lncRNA novel transcript